UGACCAGCGAUAUGCCAAUGCUGCUGACCCCAGCAAUCAGCCGACCGCAUUCCAUUCCACGAGUUGUUGCUGGAUGGACAAACACACGGUCGGAGGACAUAGGCUUGAUCCAGGCUACUGGCGAUCUACCGCCACCACAACUGACAGCUCAUUUUUCUUCAUUGCGUCGCCUUCAAUAUAUUUUUGUUCUUUUCUUGGCGCUUUCACUCUUAAUGACAUUAAAAUUAAAAUGUGUUAUUUGAUAAAGACCAUAAAAUGCGAGAGAGAUAAGUGAGCAAAGCAAGGAUGUAACGAUGCUGCAAAGGAGAAAUGUUUAAAGCCUCAAGCAUUUCGAAAAUAAUUUCAUGGAUAUUUCUUCGGUACCCAACUUUUGAGCCUAUAAAUACCACUUUUUCGUUUUUGAGACUGACUGCAGCACAAAGUCAUGGAACGACAUAUAAUCCGGAAACGAUUUCGAUACUAGCAAAAGGCACUAUUUUUGGGGACCCACCAGUCGUCUAUUUCUGAUUUGAAACAAAGUAAAGGGUGAUCCUAGUAGAGGUAAAGGUA